CACUACAUAAAACUUUUUUUUCCCCUAUAGGGAUAUAUCAGUAUUCAGACCGAAUCUUCCAAAGGACUUUUCUUACCAAUUAUGAGGAGCUUCUGGUAAUGCAUGGUUACUUAUCACUUGCAUUUCUUGUGGAGUUUUUUCCUUUUAUUUGCUUUUUCAAACAGAGCUGAACUUUAAGAGGUAUUAUCCCUUAUUUUUUCUUAAACAAAACAGGGGACAAAACAAAAUUAAAUGAAAGAUUGUUCAAAUGUUUCUCGUCCUCGGAAACUCAAAGGAGAAAGAUGAUAAAACUCAACAAAAAUAUUUAGUGUCUGAGGGGAGUCAGCCUAAAGAGUUUGGAGGUUUUACAAACCUCAAAGAGAGACAAAGCCUUGAUGUUUGGAAAUCCGUUGCCAUCAUCAUCUGGUCAAGGCAGUGAUGACUCCUGGGGCGGAGGAUCCCAGACCACCCCAGCUGUUGGCUCACAGGGGGACUUGGUGGAUGGACUGAUGGUUAAUUUGUUGUCCUUCCGGGACAGCCUCUGUAGAAAUGGGUCUGCUACGCAACAGCACCUCACAGGAGACUAAUAGAUGAAUCUUACCUGCA